UACAGAGGGGGCAAGCGUUGUUCGGAAUUACUGGGCGUAAAGGGCGCGUAGGCGGCCUUCUAAGUCGAACGUGAAAUCCCCGGGCUCAACCCGGGAACUGCGUCCGAUACUGGAAGGCUUGAAUCCGGGAGAGGGAUGUGGAAUUCCAGGUGUAGCGGUGAAAUGCGUAGAUAUCUGGAGGAACACCGGUGGCGAAGGCGGUUCUCUGGGCCUGUACUGACGCUGAGGAACGAAAGCGUGGGGAGCGAACAGG
rnacentral:rRNA from 1 species